rnacentral:lncRNA from 1 species
CCACAUUACCAAAGAAAAUAUACAUCACCAAAGCUAUGCUGAAGCCGGGAUUAAUCUGGAUGCUGAACCGGGACCUUUGACUUCUAUCGACCUGCGCACGGAAACAAUCGUACGCUGAGUAUUGCGUACUCAGUGGUAUUACCAUAAUUCAAAUUAUAACAAUAAUAAACAUAUAAUGCAUAAAUCGUAUAUACAAUUUAAAAUUCCAUAUUUCAACAAUAGCAAUUCAUCAAUUGAUAUCAUACAUCCAUAAUUUGAAUUUGGACAUAUCAUGAAUCUUAAGUUCAUUUCUCAAUCUCAUAUCACAUUUCAAUUCACAAUUCAACUUUUUCAUUUCAUUUGAAUAGCUUGUUUGAUCAACUCAUUCAGUUUAUCAUUUCAUUUUUUACCCUAUUAACAAAACUCGGACUUUGGCGGAUACACAGAUCCAACCAAACACACCAAUAUGGCACCCAGUGCCUCAUCGGAUAGUUCGAAGCAAUAGUUGACACCCAGUGUCUCAUCAGCCAAGCUGAAGUAAGUUGGUACCCAGUACCUCAUCGAAUCUAUCCGAAGAAAUAUAGUGACACCCAGUGUCUCAUCGACUCGAGGUCGAAGUAUCCCUGAACUCUUCCAAUCCUAUGGCAUGCCAACUAUAUCCGACUCAGCCCGACUAGUUAAUAGGGUAUUUAAGUCACAUAUAAUCCCAAUUCAAUCACAAUUUCUCAUAUUUUUAAUUCAAUCAUUUUUCCACCUUUCAAUCAAUAAUUAAUCCACAAAUUCACAUAUUUUCACAACUCAAUACAUUUCCAUUCAAUUUAAUAUCAGUCACAAUUCGAUUCAAGUUCACUUCCCGCUUUCAAUCAACAAACAAUUCAAAUAUUAAUUCAUAUCAACUAUUCAAUUUAAUUCCCACUCAUUUUAAUAAUAAUGAUAAUAAUAAUAAUAAUAAUAAUAAUAAUAAUAAUAAUAAUAAUACUUACCUUACAUUUCAUUUACCAACACAUAAAUUAAAAUUAACAUUUAAUAAUAAAUAACUUGAAUUAUAGUAAUACAAACCGUAAAUCUCCCGUUUUAGUCCUCGAUAGCUUUCUCCUUUCCCUUUGAUGCUGAUGCCUCGGGUUCUUUGUUAGCUACGAAAAUAAUAAUAAUUUAUACUAUUAAUUACAACACUAAUUAUAAUAAAUAAUUGAAUUUUCUAUUCAAUUUCUUCCUUAUUCUCAAUUUAAUCCUAACUAAAUUUACUUACUUUCCUAAUUCAAUUCACACUCUAUUUCUAUUCAAAUUUCAUCCAAACUCAAAUUUAACUAUCAAAAUUUCAGCAUAUUUUCCUAAUUUCGAAUUUCUCUAAAUUUAGUCCCUAAAACAUAAAAUUUAUAGUUUCUUUUACAAUUUAAUCCCUUUAUCAAUUCUAACUUAGAAUUCAUUCAAUUUAAUCCCUAAUUCAACAAUUUAUUCAACAUAAACUAUACUUGAAAACCUAUGAACUUACAAAACAUCAACUUAAUCCCAUCAAAACUUUGUUUUAAAGCUUUUAAAACAUUAGAAUUAAGAGAAAAGGGCUAAUUUGACUUACCAAUCAAAGCUUUAAACCUUAAACCUUUAGUUUUUCCUUUUUCUUUUCUUUCUUUCUUUCUUUCUCCCUUGUUUCUUCUCUGUUUCAUCACUUCUAUUCUGUUUCUUUCUUUUCUUUUGCUUUGUUU